rnacentral:tRNA from 1 species
UGGAGGGUCUGCUAACGGUAGGCAAAUGGGCUCUGAACCCAUCAAUGUAGGUUCGAUUCCUACCCCUCCAGCCA